rnacentral:lncRNA from 1 species
CAAAAUCAGCAAGUUCUUCAACAAAUUAUGUUAGAAAAAUUCCUUAUUCAGAAAAAUUAGUGACUAAAUCUUCAUAUCGCCUUUGCCUAGUUCAUAUAAAACGUCAUCAAGUAACAAGUCAGAUAAAUCAAUGUCACCUCCUUCAAUUCCCUCAAAACCUUUUACAAAACAGUUAAAACUACACUCAGCAACAUAUUCUCAACACAAUUCAGACUCAAAUCCAGCAAAGAAAAUAAAACGGGAACAUACAGUAAAAGAAACAAUUUCCAAGGAACAUCGGAAGAAAUCAAAUAGUGCGAAAAGAAGUAAAUUCUAAAGAUGCACGUGAAAAUGUGCUGGUGUAUGGGCCACCAAAGAAUGAAAAACCAGUAUCUUCCAAUCCACCUGAGAGAAUAUAUGGAGAAAUUAAGAACAAUCAACCAACACAGCCAG